rnacentral:rRNA from 1 species
UCCUGGCUCAGGACGAACGCUGGCGGCGUGCCUAAUACAUGCAAGUCGAACGAACUCUGGUAUUGAUUGGUGCUUGCAUCAUGAUUUACAUUUGAGUGAGUGGCGAACUGGUGAGUAACACGUGGGAAACCUGCCCAGAAGCGGGGGAUAACACCUGGAAACAGAUGCUAAUACCGCAUAACAACUUGGACCGCAUGGUCCGAGCUUGAAAGAUGGCUUCGGCUAUCACUUUUGGAUGGUCCCGCGGCGUAUUAGCUAGAUGGUGGGGUAACGGCUCACCAUGGCAAUGAUACGUAGCCGACCUGAGAGGGUAAUCGGCCACAUUGGGACUGAGACACGGCCCAAACUCCUACGGGAGGCAGCAGUAGGGAAUCUUCCACAAUGGACGAAAGUCUGAUGGAGCAACGCCGCGUGAGUGAAGAAGGGUUUCGGCUCGUAAAACUCUGUUGUUAAAGAAGAACAUAUCUGAGAGUAACUGUUCAGGUAUUGACGGUAUUUAACCAGAAAGCCACGGCUAACUACGUGCCAGCAGC